rnacentral:rRNA from 1 species
AUUGAACGCUGGCGGCAGGCCUAACACAUGCAAGUCGAGCGGAGCGGCGGACGGGUGAGUAAUGCCUAGGAAUCUGCCUGGUAGUAGGGGAUAACGUCCGGAAACGGGCGCUAAUACCGCAUACUAUCAGAUGAGCCUAGGUCGGAUUAGCUAGUGGGUGGGGUAAAGGCCUACCAGGGCGACGAUCCGGAACUGGUCUGAGAGGAUGAUCAGUCAACUGGGAAUUGAGAAACGGGCCAGAUUCCGACGGAAGGCAGCAGUGGGGAAGAUUGGAAAAUGGGCGAAAGCCUGAUCCAGCCAUGCCGCGGGUGUGAAGAAGGUCUUCGGAUUGUAAAGCACUUUAAGUUGGGAGGCGUUACCAACAGAAUAAGCACCGGCUAACUUCGUGCCAGCAGCCGCGGUAAUUC